rnacentral:rRNA from 1 species
UACGUAGGCAGCAAGCGUUGUUCGGAGUUACUGGGCGUAAAGGGUGUGUAGGCGGUUGUCUAAGUUUGGUGUGAAAUCUCCGGGCUUAACCGGGAGGGUGCGCCGAAAACUGGAUGACUAGAGUGUGGGAUGGGUAAGUGGAAUUCCUGGUGUAGCGGUGAAAUGCGUAGAUAUCAGGAGGAACACCGGUGGUGUAGACGGCUUACUGGACCAUAACUGACGCUGAGACACGAAAGCGUGGGUAGCAAACAGG